rnacentral:rRNA from 1 species
UACAGGGGGUGCAAACGUUGUUCGGAAUCAUUGGGCGUAAAGCGCGUGUAGGCGGCCAUUUAAGUUUGGUGUGAAAGCCCAGGGCUUAACCCUGGAAGUGCACUGAAUACUGAGUGGCUAGAGGACGAGAGAGGACAAUGGAAUUCAUGGUGUAGGGGUGAAAUCCGUAGAUAUCAUGAGGAACAUCUGUGGCGAAGGCGAUUGUCUGGCUCGUUUCUGACGCUGAGACGCGAAAGCGUGGGGAGCAAACAGGG